ensembl:lncRNA
GCCUGGCCUAGCUUGCCAGCCUACCUCUUUCUCCCGUGCUGCAUGCUUUCUGCCCUCAAAUGUUGGACUCCAAGUUCUUCAGUUUUGGAACUCCGGCUGGCUCUCCUUGCUCCUCAGCUUGCAGAUGGCCUAUUGUGAUCAUGUGAUCAGGAAUAUCCUGUCUGAGGUGCUGACAUUUGGGCAGUAAGCCAAAUGAUGAGAAGUGAGCCAUGCUGAUACCUAGAAGAAACUCAGGAAACCAGAAUACAAUGAAAUUGGUCAAUUACAAGGGUGGGAUGGAGAAAGAGGAAAAUAUUCAUUCCAUGGUGUCUACAGGGGAUUGGUUCCAGGACCAAUUUACAGUCCAUGGUUGCUUGAAUUGUGGAUGUGAAACCCACAAACAGGAAGACGUCUGUAAAAGUCAGCACGUGGCUCUCCAAACUAAUGGAGAACAGCAUUAGCAUUACUAAUAUGGAACAGAUGACUAUCCCUUUGGGAGUUAUCUUGUUGCCAUAGCAGUUCUCAAGCCUCAGAAAAUGAUAAGAAAGAAGAGGUGAACGCCAGCUCCAGAAAAUAUUUCUGUUCAUCUGUGUUCUGACUUUAAUAAUAAAUGGCAGGAUGGAGGCAGAACAAGAUGGCCAAAUAGAAGCCUCUACUGAUCAUGCUCCUCCUAGGAGCUCUAAAUUGAAAAACUAUCCUCGCAAAAAGCACCUUAAUAAGAACCAAAAAUCAGGUGAGUGAUCAAGGUACCUGGUUUUAACUUCAUAUCGCUGAAAGAGGCACUGAAGAGGGUACAACAGACAGUCUUGAAUUGCUGAUGCCACUUCUCCCCCAUCCUCUGAGCACAGGUUACAUGGCAUGGAGAAAAAAAUCUAUGUGCUUGGAGGAGAGAAAGCACAGUGAUUAUGGGACUUUGCAUUGGAAUUCAGUGCUGCCCAGUCACAACAAAACACAACACAGGACAGAACUUAGCCAGCAUGCUUGGAGGGAGCAUUUAGAUCAGCCCCAGCCGAAGGGAAAUGGUUCAUCCCAGCUAUUGGAACCUGAGUUCCAGCAAGCCCCAUCACUGCAAGCUAAAGUGCUGAAGGUUCUAAAUAAAUCUAAAAGGCAGUCUAGACCACAGGGACUGCAAUUCCUGGGCAAGUUCUAGUACUCAGCUGGCCUUGGAGCCAGUGGACUUAAGGGUGCAUGACCUAGUGAGAUAGCAGCUGGAGUAGCUAAGGGAGUGUUUGCACAACCCCUCCCCAAACCCAGACAGCAGACCUCACAGCUCCAAGAGAGAUGAUUUUCCUCUGUCAGAUGAAAGGCUAGGAAAGAGUAAAGAGGACUUUGUCUUGCAACUUGAAUACCAGUUCAGCCACUCUAGGAUAGGGCACCAGACAGAGUACAGAGGUUCCCAUUCCAGGCCUUAUCUCUCAGAUGACAUUUCAAGACACUGUCUGGGCCUAAAGGAAACUUGCUACAUUGAAAAGAAGAACCUAGUCCUAGGAAGAUUCAUUACCUGCUGCCAAAAGACACCUUGAGCUGUGAAUAUUCAGUAGUAGUAGUCAGGCAGUACUUGCCUUGGGCCUUGGGUUUGACUCAGAGACCUGCUGGUUUCAGGUGUAACCCAGCACACUUCCAGGUGUGGUGGCUAAAGGGAGAGACUCUUUCUGCUUGAGACAACAAGAGAGAAGAAUAAAGAGAACUUUGUCUUGAAGCUUUGAUAUCAUCUCAGCCACAGUGGGAUAGAGUACCAAGUGGGCUCUUGGGAUCCCCAAUUUCAGGUCUUGACUCUUGGACAGCAUUUUUGGACCUGCCCUGGGGAAGAGUGAGGCCCACCUCUCUGAAAGGAGAGUCCCAGGCCUGGAAACAUUCACCAUGAGCUGAUGAAAGAACCCUUAGGCCUUGAAUUAACAUUGAAGAUAGCCAGGCAGUACUCUCCAUUGGCCUAGGGUGGUGGUAGCCAUGAGAGAGACUCCUUUGUUUGUGGAAAGGCAAGGGAAGUUUGGAAAGACUUUAUCUUGUGGCUCAGGUACCAGCUCAGCCACAAUCAGUAGAUUCCUGAUGUUUCCAACUCCAAGCCCUAGCUCCUGAAUAACAUCUCUGGUUCCACCCAGGGCCAAAAGGUAUUCACCACCCUGAAUGGAAGGACACAAGCCUGUCUGGGUUUGCCAAUGAUUGUAAAGCCCUAGGGCCAUGAGCUAACAUCGGCAGUAGCUAGGCAGUGAUUACUAUGAACCUUGGGUGAGACCUAGUGAUAUGCUGGCUUCAGUUCUGAUCCAGUGCAAACCAGGAGUGGUGGUCACAGGGCUACUUAUGUCACCCCUUCCCCAGUUCCAGGCAGCUCAACACAGAGAGAUACACUCUGUUUGUUUGGGAGAAAAUAAGGGAAGAGAAGGAGAGUCUUUCUCUGGCAAAUGCAAAUAUGACUGUAGUGACUAAAAACUUAGAUUACAGAAACAUGCAGUUCCCUUUAAAUACCUGGAAAACCUUCUCAAGCAGUGUAGGUACAAACAGGCCCAGACUGUGAAGGCUACAAUAAAUACCUACCUCUUCAAUGCCCAGAUACCAAUGAACAUCCACAAGCAUCAAGGUCAUCAAGGAAAACAUGACCUCACCAUAUGAACUAAAUAAGUCAUGUAGGACCAAUCCUGGAGAGACAGAAAUAUGUACCCUUUCAGAGAGAGAAUUCAAAAUAACUGUUUUGAGGAAACUUAAUGAAAUUCAAGAUAACAUGCAGAACGAAUUCAGAAUCUAUCAGAUAAAUUUAACAUAUAAUGUGAAAUAAUUAAAAGAAAUCAAGCAGAAAUUCUGGAGUUGAAAAAUGCAAUUGACACACUGAAGAACGCAUCAGAGUCUCUUAACAGCAGAAUUAAUCAAGCAGAAGAAAAUAUCAGUGAUCUUGAAGACAGUUUACUUGAAAAUACACAAUCAGAGGAGAUAAAACAAAAAGAAUAAAAAGAAUGAGGCAUGCCUACGGGGUCUAGAAAAUACCCUUAAAGCAAAUUGAGUUAUUGGCCUAAAGAGGAGGCAGAGAGAGAGAUAGGGAUAAAAAGUUAAUUUCAUGGUAUAAUGAUAGAGUACUUCCCAAACCUAGAGACAGACAUUGUGAUUGAAGUACAAGAAAGUUAUAGAACACCAAGCAGAUUGAGCCCAAAGAAGACAACCUCAAGGAAUUUAGUAAUCAAACUCUCAAAAGUCAAGGAUAAAGAAAGGAUCCUAAAUGCAGCAAGAGGAAAGAAGCAAAUAACAUAAAAUGGAACUUCAAUAUGGCUGACAGCAGACAUUUUCAGUGGAAAGCCUUACAGUCUACGAGACAGGUGCAUGACAUAUUUAAAGUGCUGAAGGAAAAACAAAAAAUAAAAAGUUAAAGAAACCCUUUUACCCUAUAGUAUAGUAUAGUACAGUAUAGAAUAAUAUAGUAUAUCCAGCAAAAAUAUCCUUCAAAAAUGAAGGAGAAAUAGACUUUCACAGACAAAUCAAAGCUGAAUGAUUUAAUCAAUGCCAGAGGUUUCUAGGAGAAAAUGCUUAAAAAAAUGCUUCAACCUGAAUGAAAAGGACAUUUAUGAACAAAAAUAAGUCCUCUGAAGAUACAAAACUCAGUAGUAAUGUAAGCACACAGAAAAACAGAAAAUUAUGACACCAUAAUUGUGGUGUGUAAGCUACUUAUACUUUGAAUUGAAAGACUAAUGAUGAAUCAACAAAAAUGAUAACUACUACAAAAACUUUUCAUGACUAUAGACAGCACAAUAAUAUAUAAAUAGAACAACAAAAAGUUAAAAAAUGGGGGAUGAAGUUAAAGUGUAGAAUUUUUCUUGGUUUUCUCUUUGCUUGUUUGUCAGUUUGUUCAUACAAUCAAUGCUAAGUUGUCAUCAGUUUAAAGUAAUGGGUUAAAAGGUAUUAUUUAUAAGUCUCACAGUAAACUCAAAUCAAAAGACAUAAAACAGAUCCACAGAAAAUAAAAAGCAAGAAAUUAAAACACCAC